CAUAGUUUAAUGGUUGAUAACAUGCGCCUUUCCAGCGCAAGAUCGGGGUUCGAUUCCCUG
rnacentral:tRNA from 1 species